CCCCGACCAAAAAACAAAUCUCAGGCCACAUCGGUAAUUCCCCCCGACCAAAAUCCAAAUGAGAAAAAACAAAUCACGGACCGGGCCGGUAUGUAAAAUUAUAGAACAGCAACUCGGACUCGUACAAAAUGCGCCGGGCAUUAAACUAUAAAAGGGGGUUGGUAUAUGAUUAUAUGAUAUGCGACAUUACGACACGUCGUAGUAGAUGCUAUCACAAAUACCGCAUGGUGCCAUUCGCUGAAUAUAAGUCCCUCUAUGGUCUAUGGAGGCUCCUACACGCAUCACCUUUAGCUGUGCUGCAAAUUCUAACAUUAAUGUACCUGCUACACAACAAGUGUGCGAAGGCCCUAUACGCUUCAUCGCUUCA
rnacentral:rRNA from 1 species